rnacentral:lncRNA from 1 species
CUCAGCCUCCCAAAGUGCUGGGAUUACAGGUGUCAACCACCGCACUCGGCCCAUAUCUUUUUAUUGCCCAAUAGAAUUCCAUUGUAUAUACCACAUCUUCUUUAUCUGUUUAUAGGUAUUUGGGUUGUUUCUACUUUGGGGCUAUUAUAAGUAAUAUGAGCUCUACUAUGAGCAUUUAUGUACAAGUCUUUGCUGUAUCAUAUAGUAACUAUGUCUAACAUUUUCUGAAACUGCCAACUAUUAUCCAAAGCAGCAGCACCAUUUUACAUUCUCACCAACAACGCAUGUAGGUUCCAAUUUCUCCACAUCCUCCUUAGCACUUGUUAUUGUCCUUUUUUUAAUUAUUACAGCCAUCCUAGUGGGUGUGAAGUGGUAUCUCAUUGUGAUUUUGAUUUGUAUUUUCCUAAGUGACUACUGAUGUUGAGCAUCUCAUGUUGUUAACAGCCAUUCAUAUUAUCUUCCCAGAGAAAUUUCUAUUCAAAUUGUAGGCCCAUUUUGAAAUUGGUUUGUUUGUUUUCUUAUUAGGAACCCCAUCUUAACAGGGAACAGUGACAAAGCAAGCACAUUCAAAGACCAAGAAGAAAGUAAAAGUGUUGUUAGGAACUAGAAGAGAGAAUACCCGGAGGCAGAGAGAAACACAACCAUUGUCUUCAAGGGUCUGAAGGGCUGUCAUGUGAAAGAGAGAACAAAAGCCUUCUAGUUUAUUCCAGGUGGGAAGAGGGAUCAGGAGACAGAAGCCACGGAGAGGCAUAUUUUUCCCUACUUACAAAAAUAUGUUUUUUACCAGUUAGAGCCACAUAAAAAUUAAAGAGGAGAUACUGAGUUUCUAGUCACUGGAGGAAUUCAGUAAAAUCUGGCUACCUAUUUGUCAGAGGUGUUGUAGAACAGACCAACACAUGGGAAGAGAAAUAGAUCUACCUUCUUUCAUUCAAAGAAUAUUUGAAAAUAUAGUGAGGCUGGGUGCAGUGGCUCACACCUGUAAUCCCAGCACUUUGGGAGGCUGAGGCAGGUGGAUUGCAUGAGGUGAGGAGUUCUAGACCUG